rnacentral:pre_miRNA from 8 species
GCCGGGAGGUUGAACAUCCUGCAUAGUGCUGCCAGGAAAUCCCUAUUUCAUACUAAGAGGGGCUGGCUGGUUGCAUAUGUAGGAUGUCCCAUCUCCCAGCCUACUUCGUCA